CAGAUCGAUGGCCUUCAGCUAAGUAGAUUCUCCACCCUGAAAUCCUUUACAAACGUACUAUAAAUACCACAGCUUCAUAGCCAUUGGGAAAUCAAAAAACAACUUAGUCUUAAUCCCCUCAAAAACCCUUCUAGGUUAAUACAUUGUCUGUACCUCUCCUGUAAAAAUGGCCGGAAACAACAGGCAGAAGAAAUCUUCAGAUGGUUCUCUCUCUCUUUUCAACAUCUUCAAAGGCAAAAGCUCGAGGGGUCGAAGGGUAGUUGAAGAUACAAAUUAUGAUUCUAUGAAGGCUUGCAAAGUUUGGCCUAGUGAUGAAGAUAGAGGUCGGUAUGUGGCCCAGCCUGGAAUUGACAAGUUAGCUUCUACUUACAUCAUUUCAACAACAGAGAAGUGGAAAAAUGUAGCAGCGACCAACUAGUUAAUUAUCGGCGUAUCGUCUGAUUUAUUGUUACUUAAUUCCAUCUGCUGCAACUUCUACAUUCAUUAUGUGUUGAUUGAAAUUGUUAAAUAAUUCUUAGUAUUGUUAUAGGAUGUGGUGUUUGAUCUGGUUAAGUUGUGAAAUGUUAAUAACAGUUAAUGAAUGAAUAAAGCCUGUGCUUAAGGCUCGUCUCUUUUACUUGAAAGCAGCUGGUUUCCUUCAUUGCACUUAUGGUUUGGUCGUCGUGACUAUUAUAAAGAUUGAAACCAGGCUAGAAAUUUCUGGAUGUGCAUGGCAGGACAGCAUUGACAUGUAUGUUUGUUAUAAGGAUAUGUCAUGUUUGGUUCCGGUACAAUUGUCUCGUGGAAUGGAUUCAGGAUACUUAGAAAAUUAUAAAAAUAUUGUACUUUUGAUUAAUUUGGGAUCCUCACCAUUCAACCAUGGAGAUAUUUGUUUCUUUUGCAAACUAUUAAGCCUUUGGAUACAAUUUAUAAAUUUCACUCACAUCUUCAUAAGCA
rnacentral:lncRNA from 1 species